UCCCUGGUGGCUUAGAUGGUAAAGUGUCUGCCUACAAUGUGGAAGUCCUGAGUUCAAUCCCUGGGUAGGGAA
rnacentral:tRNA from 1 species